UCGCUAGGAACCCUACACUCGGUAAUGAUCCUUCCGUAGGUGAACCUGCGGAAGGAUCAUUAC
rnacentral:rRNA from 1 species